UUCAUUUCCCUCAGUUUAUAAGCUCUCUGGUUUUCAUUGUUCCUCGCUGGUUUUUUCCGUUAACAUUCAAUUAACACCACGUUACCUACCCUUUGUCUUUGCCCUGGUCCUGUCCUGAGUUCUUCCAUGUCUGUUGCCUGGAUUUUCAUGCACCUGCUUUCAUCUGGUUUAUGUUUUUCACCUGCCUGAGUUCCUGAACCUGGUCCAUUGGUAUAGUCCGGUGAUUUUGAAGCAGCAGAGCCCCAAGUGGAUAGGCCAGGACACUGGCCUGCCCAGGACACGUCUUCCCUCAUGCCUGGCUGUCAUGAUAGUCUGCAGUGAUACUUAUG